UGCGGGGUGGAGCAGUCUGGCAGCUCGUCGGGCUCAUAACCCGAAGGUCGUAGGUUCAAAUCCU
rnacentral:tRNA from 1 species